rnacentral:rRNA from 1 species
AGAGAUGGCCAUGCCACCCUGAAUGUGCCUGAUCACAUCUGGUCUCAGAAGCUAGGCAGGGUUGCAUCUAGUUAAUAUUUAGCUGGAUGAUCACUUGGGAAUACAGAGUCCUGUA